AUUUCUGUCUACUAGACAGCCUACGGAAUGGCUGUCCCCUACAUUUUUAUUGAUUUUUAUUAACUAUAGUUUUUAAUCAUUUUUUACAAUUUUUGCGAUAUGAAAAGGCGUUUUUAGCACUCAGAAGAGGUCAGUCACCAAAAUCGUACGCUAAAGGUGAUGGAAACCACCGAAAACAGAGUCAACACAGGGUAUUUCGUUAGCGUGGAGCAAGUACUGACUCUGGAAUUUAGACGGAACAGUUCUUGAAACGGUAGAACGAACAAACGAAACAAAAUAAGAGUGGAUAUGCGGAAUUCACUCUGGAAUGGCCACCGGACAAUUCAAAAAAGAUGUUCCAUCAAAUUUUCAAGAAAAUGAAGAGCUCCCGACAAUGGAGUUGGUAAAAAGCUAAACACGUACCAGCAGAAGAUUUGUGAAGUCUCCGACAAACUCCCUAACAAUAUCAACACCGUGAAAAAAACUAUGGAAGGAUAUCCGGCAAUAGAACUUGAAGCCAUGAAAAUUUCGUCCAUACAUUGAGGGAGCCAAAACAACCGUCAUCACGGAUCACGCCUGUUGGGAAGGUUUUGCCCGUUAACAUGGAGGUCCCGCCGGAAGGAGAACCUGUUCGAAGCUAAACGUUCUCUGUAAGCUCAAAGCGACUAUGUUUUAAAUUUAGUAUUGGAAUAA
ensembl:lincRNA F39E9.10 ncRNA